CGGACGGGUGAGUAAUGUCUGGGAAACUGCCUGAUGGAGGGGGGUAACUACUGGAAACGGUAGCUAAUACCGCAUAACGUCGCAAGACCAAAGAGGGGGACCUUCGGGCCUCUUGCCAUCGGAUGUGCCCAGAUGGGAUUAGCUAGUAGGUGGGGUAACGGCUCACCUAGGCGACGAUCCCUAGCUGGUCUGAGAGGAUGACCAGCCACACCGGAACUGAGACACGGUCCAG
rnacentral:rRNA from 1 species